rnacentral:rRNA from 1 species
CCUACGGGUGGCAUCAGUGGGGAAUAUUGCACAAUGGGGGAAACCCUGAUGCAGCUACGCCGCGUGUGUGAAGAAGUAAUUCGUUAUGUAAAGCUCUAUCAGCAGGGAAGAAAAUGACGGUACCUGAGUAAGAAGACGCGGCUAACUACGUGCCAGCAGCCGCGGUAAUACGUAGGGGGCAAGCGUUAGCCGGAUUUACUGGGUGGAAAGGGAGCGUAGACGGGAGUGCAAGUCUGGAGUGAAAGGCGGGGGCUUAACCCCCGGACGGCUCUGAAAACGGUACGGCUGGAGUGCAUGAGAGGUAAGUGGAAUUCCUAGUGUAGCGGUGAAAUGCGUAGAUAUUAGGAGGAACACCAGUGGCGAAGGCGGCUUACUGGACUGUAACUGACGUUGAGGCUCGAAAGCGUGGGGAGCAAACAGGAUUAGAUACCCCAGUAGUC